CCUACGGGCUGCAGCAGUAGGGAAUCCUCCGCAAUGGGCGAAAGCCUGACGGAGCAACGCCGCGUGAGUGAUGAAGGUCUUCGGAUCGUAGAACUCUGUUAUUAGGGAAGAACAAAUGUGUAAGUAACUAUGCACGUCUUGACGGUACCUAAUCAGAAAGCCACGGCUAACUACGUGCCAGCAGCCGCGGUAAUACAUAGGUGGCAAGCGUUAUCCGGAAUUAUUGGGCGUAAAGCGCGCGUAGGCGGUUUUUUAAGUCUGAUGUGAAAGCCCACGGCUCAACCGUGGAGGGUCAUUGGAAACUGGAAAACUUGAGUGCAGAAGAGGAAAGUGGAAUUCCAUGUGUAGCGGUGAAGUGCGCAGAGAUAUGGAGGAACACCAGUGGCGAAGGCGACUUUCUGGUCUGUAACUGACGCUGAUGUGCGAAAGCGUGGGGAUCAAACAGGAUUAGAUACCCCUGUAGUC
rnacentral:rRNA from 1 species